UACGUAGGUGGCAAGCGUUGUCCGGAUUUACUGGGCGUAAAGAGCGCGCAGGCGGUCGUUCAAGUCGAGUGUGAAAGCCCCCGGCUCAACUGGGGAGGGGCACUCGAUACUGAUCGACUCGAAGGCAGAAGAGGGAAGCGGAAUUCCCGGUGUAGUGGUGAAAUGCGUAGAUAUCGGGAGGAACACCAGUGGCGAAGGCGGCUUUCUGGUCUGCACUUGACGCUGAGGCGCGAAAGCUAGGGUAUCAAACGGG
rnacentral:rRNA from 1 species